GGGGGUGUUCCGGAUUCGACCGGACCAGCUAUGUGCUGACUGCAUGUCGAGGAUAACCGUUGGCCUCGUUAAUCAUCGGUUGCAAUAAUAAUUGCCAAAGAAGAAUACGCACUGGCUGCUUAAGUUCAGCCACGUCUCUACUCUGACGGACGCUAAGGGAUAGAGACGUCAGCAGCGUCCUGGCCAUCAAGUCAUACCCGAGGGCUUGAGGUAAGAUAUUUGAGGGAUAGUCUGAAAGCAAGCCUGUUCACCGGCAUCGCGGACGGACGAUAAACAACAUAGGUGGACUAAACAUGUAGAAGUCUUCAUUUACGCUCUUUCGGCACGGGGGUUCAACUCCCCCCACCUCCACCA
rnacentral:tmRNA from 2 species